CCUACGGGUGGUCUGCAGUGGGGCAUAUUGGGCAAUGGGCGCAAGCCUAACCCAGCAAUGCCGCGUGAAGGAAGAAGGCUUUCGGGUUGUCACCUUCUUUGACAGGGGAAGAGCAGAAGACAGUACCCUGAAAACAAGCCACGGCUAACUACGUGCCAGCAGACGCGGUAAUACGUAGGUGGCAAGCGUUGUCCGGAUUUACUGGGUGUAAAGGGCGUGUAGCCGGGAAGGCAAGUCAGAUGUGAAAUCUAGAGGCUCAACCUCCAAAUUGCAGUUGAAACUGUUUUUCUUGAGUACUGGAGAGGCAGACGGAAUUCCUGGUGUAGCGGUGAAAUGCGUAGAUAUAAGGAGGAACACCAGUGGCGAAGGCGGUCUGCUGGACAGCAACUGACGGUGAGGCGCGAAAGCGUGGGGAGCAAACAGGAUUAGAUACCCGAGUAGUC
rnacentral:rRNA from 1 species